rnacentral:tRNA from 1 species
GCCUGGGUGGCUCAAUUGGUGCAGCAUGAGACUCUUGAUCUCAAGGUUGUGAGUUCAAGCCCCAUAUUCGGUG